rnacentral:rRNA from 1 species
AUUGAACGCUGGCGGCAGGCCUAACACAUGCAAGUCGAACGGAGUGGCGGACGGGUGAGUAAUGUCUGGGAAACUGCCUGAUGGAGGGGGAUAACUACUGGAAACGGGGGCUAAUACCGCAUACUAUCAGAUGAGCCGAGGUCGGAUUAGCUAGUUGGUGGGGUAAAGGCCUACCAAGGCGAAGAUACGUAACUGGUCUGAGAGGAUGAGCAGUCACACUGGAACUGAUACACGGUCCAGACUCCUACGGGAGGCAGCAGUGGGGAAUAUGGGGCAAUGGGCGAAAGCCGGCUCCAGCCAUGCCGCGUGAGUGAAGAAGGUCUUCGGAUUGUAAAGCUCUUUAAGUUGGGAGGCGUUACCAACAGAAUAAGCACCGGCUAACUUCGUGCCAGCAGCCGCGGUAAUAC